rnacentral:tRNA from 2 species
AAUCUUAUAGUUUAAAGAAAAUAUUAAAUUGCAAAUUUAAAGUUAAAAUGUUUUAAGAUUU